GAUGAACGCUGGCGGCGUGCCUAAUACAUGCAAGUCGAGCGAACGGACGAGAAGCUUGCUUCUCUGAUGUUAGCGGCGGACGGGUGAGUAACACGUGGAUAACCUACCUAUAAGACUGGGAUAACUUCGGGAAACCGUAGCUAAUACCGGAUAAUAUUUUGAACCGCAUGGUUCAAUAGUGAAAGACGGUCUUGCUGUCACUUAUAGAUGGAUCCGCGCUGCAUUAGCUAGUUGGUAAGGUAACGGCUUACCAAGGCAACGAUGCAUAGCCGACCUGAGAGGGUGAUCGGCCACACUGGAACUGAGACACGGUCCAGACUCCUACGGGAGGCAGCAGUAGGGAAUCUUCCGCAAUGGGCGAAAGCCUGACGGAGCAACGCCGCGUGAGUGAUGAAGGUCUUCGGAUCGUAAAACUCUGUUAUUAGGGAAGAACAUAUGUGUAAGUAACUGUGCACAUCUUGACGGUACCUAAUCAGAAAGCCACGGCUAACUACGUG
rnacentral:rRNA from 1 species